GGAACAGAGGCUCCUCCCAAGGCUCUUUCUGCCUCUGGAUGUUGGUGUUGAUGAUGUGAUGUCUGGAGCUGUUGCAACCGCCUUGCUACCAGCUCAGGGCAGAAGCUUCAAGAACAGAAAGGCAAGGCUGAGAGAAUCCCAGGGAAGCAGAGCUACAUGCUGGGAGUUCUGUUCCUGAAGCCUGCCUCACCCAGGGGCUUCUUAUCAUGAAGAGCACAGACCUUUGUUUUGAAACUGUCCACAGCAAGAACAUAUGCAUGUGCGUGGCACAGACCCGACAGAUGGGAAACUCCCUCCUUGCCCUUCUUAUCCUGAUGACCUCUGGCAGCUCCAGGCAACACAGAUAUAAAAUAGCGACCAACAGCUGCAGGUUUGAAAAGUCAAGCAGACUCUUCCUUGGCUGAUGACUGCUUUCUGACUCAAUGGAAGACCUUGUUCUCUAGCGUCAGGGCUGUCAGAAACUUUGCUUAUGAGUAAGAAGAACAUCCCACUGCUUGGAGGAUCUAGGUCCACCUUAAACCAGAAGCACAGAGCUACAGAGAAGGGGUUUCUAGAAAGAAUCUCCACAUCUGGCUGGACUUUAUGGGUUCUGAGGACACAGGACCUAGGUCCACUUUGCAGACCAGACCAUACCUGACCCUGGCUCCUUUACACGGAGGCCUGCCAUGCUCUGAGUGCAUCAAUCCAGCCUCAAAAUCCCUCCUUCCAAUCCUAUGAUAACUUCUUUUCCUUUGUUUGUCGAGUCAUCUGAGGAUCCUUGAUGUGACUGUAUUCCCUUAUUGCAACAAGCCAAUAUUGAAUGUGUUGACUACAGUACUGAUUUUGGUGGCUGGUUGCACUAGGAUAUGUGUUAUUUUCUGGAUUUUGUAGAUGUUUGUAGUAUAUCUCAGCAUUUUAAAAAAUGAGUAUUUUGCUGUAAUUUGUUUUCUCUUCGUAAAUAAACAUUAACUUUUGUGCUUUCUUUUGUAUUGCUAGUAUUGCUCUAUUUUCCAUGCAGGGAGCCCCUAUAUCACAGGAGCCUCAGGCCUCACAGCAUCUUGAUCCAUCUGUGCUUGUUGUGCCGAGCGUCCACCUGCCCAGGGAAAGGCUGCACUGUCUCACACUUCCCAGGCCUCCG
rnacentral:lncRNA from 10 species